CGAGUCGGUCGGGCGGUCGCGGCGGGGUGACCCGUCGAGGAAAGUCCGGACUCCGAAGGGCAGGGUGGUUGCUAACGGCAACCCGGGGCGACCCGCGGGACAGUGCCACAGAAAACAGACCGCCUGGUGUGAUCCACCAGGUAAGGGUGAAACGGUGGUGUAAGAGACCACCAGCACCCCGGGUGACCGGGGUGGCUCGGUAAACCCCACCCGGAGCAAGGUCAAGAGGGAGCACCUCGGUGCUCCUGCGCAGGCGUUCGAGGGUUGCCCGCCCGAGCCUGCGGGUAGACCGCUAGAGCCUGUCGGUGACGGCAGGCCCAGAUGGAUGGCCGCCCCCCGGCACUGCCGGGGACAGGAUCCGGCUUACACGCCGACUCGUCCG
rnacentral:RNase_P_RNA from 2 species